CCGAGUUUACAACUCCCAAACCCCUGUGAACAUACCCUUAUGUUGCCUCGGCGGAUCAGCCCGCGCCCCGUAAAACGGGACGGCCCGCCGCAGGAAACCCCUAAACUCUGUUUCUAUAGUGGAACUUCAGAGUAAAAACCAUAAUAAAUCA
rnacentral:misc_RNA from 1 species